GGCGGCGCGCAGCGGGGCGCGGAGCCCGGCGCGGCAGCGGGAACGGGAGGACGGCGGCGGCGGCGGCGGAGGACGGGGCUGGGCAGAGGCUGCUGCCCUCUCGGCUGGGAAAAUCCUUUCCGGAUCCUGUGCACUUAGCCUGCGGAAAGGGAGACUGCACACAACCCCGGGGACAGAGUUUGCCUCCUGAACUGCACUUCUCUUUCUGAAGAACGGUAGCCCCGACCUCCAAACCAACUGAGACUGACGCUUUAAAGUAGCUGCGAACAGCGCUCCCGUGUCUUAACAGGGUCCCGUAGGAGAUUCGAGACUUUUAAUUUCCAAACAGAAGGAAUUAUUCCCUCGGAGUCCCGAUGGGCAGAGGUGGAAGAAGCAACACCGCGAUCGCGGCGGGGACACAGAGAAGUCGGACAGAGCCGUUCCUCCCCGGGGCCGGUGCCGUCCUAAAGGUUCAAGCCCCCCUCAGGAUUUCGGAACAAAGCCAGCCCAGCCCUGGUCCGCCACGCACAAAUCUCCAUUGUAAUCCUGCGCUUUUCCUCCUUUUUUAUUUUUUUUUCUUCCCUUCGCCCUGUUUUCCAGCUUGCGGAUCCUGAAGGUCAGAUGGAGAGGUCAUGGCUCUGCAUCCCCUAUAAAUAGAUUUUGAUAUUUAGACAGCUAUUGCUACUCAAUAUUAACUUACAGGAUAAUGGCGAGAGAUCCCGUAUGCGCUGAACCUGUUAUUCACGAGUGAGCAGCAUCUGUCGAAUACAAUUCUCGUCUUUUCGCCCUGUUUGGCUAUAGCGCAAAUCAAUAGGGCGAAGGACGUCUUGAGGCUGGGGAGGGGACACGGUUGUGCGUACAGUGUUGAAACUGUACAAGGACUUCAGAAAGCCGAAGUCAAGAGCCAGGUAGGCACCGACCGGCUCUGAGAGAGCGGAGGACCCAUUCAAGAGCGGCUGGGGGAAAGCUUACAGAACAGCGCCGGAUUUAUUCUGUGACACUUCAGUUUAAAACACGGUGAAUGCCGCUGAGGUGGAAGGGUUUAUUCCAGGGGUCCCCUCGGCAUAUUCGAAGCCCGAUUUUCCCGUUUCCGACUUAAAAAAUCCUGUAUUCCAGGUAGAUCCGAACCAGAUACUCGUAGCUCACCACUAACCCUCUUGUUUACAGAGCACUCGAGGGAAGGCAAGGUCUUCAGCUGUGGGUAAUACUUUGAGGGAGCGCUAGGAAUUCUUGCUUCCAUUUCACAGAGCAUCCCCCCUUCCCUCAGACCCCAAAUCUUCCUCUGCCUUCCGCCACCUGCGAGGCAGAAAGGCUUUUUACACUCCACAGCCGUCCUGGGUGCCGGUACUUUUCUUGGCGCUGCGAUUAAAAUGAAAUUCACGGCCGGGAUUCGCCUUGAGGCUUUAGAGCAAACACCCCCGCAAGCCUGGGACCCGCCGGGAUGCGCCGAGAGGGGCCGGCCAGCGCUUUGGUAGCUGGAGGACCCGCCCCCCCACCGUGUGCGACCCCGUCGGGUGGGUGUGGGGGCGGUCAAGCCCCCGCGGGACGGGGAGAGGAGCGAGGCCAGGCUGAAAGCAUCGCUUCUCCCUCGUUUUGCUGGGAUCACGCGUGGGUCCUUGCGCCUUCUGCAAAGCAGAAGCCCCGUGUCACUGGCGAGACCGCAGCUCUAGAAAUUAGUUGCAAUCAAGAUCUUUUGUGGCAGGACGGGAAAACACGCGCG